UACGGGGGGGGGCAAGCGUUGUUCGGAAUUACUGGGCGUAAAGGGCUCGUAGGCGGCCAACUAAGUCCGACGUGAAAUCCCAAGGCUUAACUUUGGAACUGCGUCGGAUACUGGAUGGCUUGAAUUCGGGAGAGGGAUGCAGAAUUCCAGGUGUAGCGGUGAAAUGCGUAGAUAUACUGGAGGAAUACCGGUGGCGAAGGCGGCAUCCUGGACCGACAUUGACGCUGAGGAGCGAAAGCUAGGGGAGCAAACGGG
rnacentral:rRNA from 1 species